ensembl:lncRNA
GUGAAGCUGGUGAGUAAUUGGGCUAAAUAAGAAUUUUCCCCAGGUGAAAAUGGGGACCCGAACUGAAAAUGGAGGAAACCCACCUCCUGAGUCUUUGGUGAAAGAGUGAAGCUACAUUCCAGACUACGACUUUAUGACCUUUCUAUCACUUGGUAAGGAGUGAUCCCAAAAAGUGGCGUGAUCCUUGCAAGUGAGUAAGAUGCCUGCCUUCCUGGAGGCCCGGAGAAAUUGAGGGAGGGAAAGCGUCCUUCAAGAUGCGGCUUCCUUUUUGCAGAAGUGCUACUCUGUUGAAGUUUAUACAGAAUUGUCAGUUAAUGAAGUGUCGUCACAGACCACACUCUCAGCAGCAGCUCAAAACAGUUCAGGACAACACAGAAGAAGGGAAAAUAGAAGGAAUCACGCAAGGCAGUGGGACUAGGAAUCCCUUUUAAAGUUUCUCUAAAUCACUUAAAGUCAUCUAUCCUUCGUCAUGAGAAGAUACCUGUUGGAACAGAAGUAAAGCCGCUCCUGACGUAGGAAGGGUUAAUAAUCACUGGAAAAGGCUUGCCAACAAACUGUGACCCGGAGGUCAGAAGGCCGGUUAGCCAAUGACAGAAAGUGGCUGUCUAUGCUGUAAAGAUAGAGAUUUUUGUUUCUAUGGAACUGAGAUUCAAGGGUGUCACAUAUGGUAAAUAGAACAUGUAUUUCAAAGUCUAAUUUGUGUGUUCAAAAUCAACUGAAUAUAUGUCAAAUCUGUGUAAGAAACAAGUGAAUUCAUAUGCAAUUGUAAUUUGAUAGAAUCUCUAUGAAUAAGAUCAGAUCCUCUGUAAACGGCAAGCUUAGGAGUUUUGUACUAUUAGCUGUAAGAGCCAAGCUGUUUUGGUGAUUUUAGUGGUCUUUAGCUCAUUUUGAGAAAAUAACACUUAGCAUCUUGUUCCACACUGUACCUCUAAAGCAUGUGAAGAUCAAGAGCGUAAAUAUCCAUUUCAUAGAUUUUUUAAAUUAAUUUGGUAUUAUUUUUGUUAUUUUCUCUACAUAGGUCACUGAGUUGCCAUAGCCAAUGGAAUUUUUCAGGUUGCAAAGGGCUUAUCACAAUUUUAUAUCUUUACUUUCUUGUAUUUAUUUCUAGUACUUGGGAAAACUAGUUUAAUAUGGACUGCAUGUGAUGUGGCUCUGGUCAUGGCCAAUGAGGGAACAGAAAAAGAUACAAAGGCAAUAUUUGGAAAAAGGGGAGAAAAAAAGUGGAAAAAUAUUUGACCCCUAUAAGGAAUAGUAAAAGUAUAACCAUCAGGAACUCUAAAUGUUUGGAGAGAAUAAAAUCAUAUAGAUCUGAAAAUGCGGACAUGAGAAAAAGUGCUAAUCUCAAGCAUGUUCAUGUAAAGUAAAGGUGUAGGCUCUUACAGUGCCUCAUGCUGAGCUAGUUAUGUGUGACCAUGUAUACGUUUAAGUUGAUUUAUUAAACCAAUUUCUUUAUCACUUCAUAAUAGCACACAAUAGUGGCAUUUUGAUGCAUCAUGCCUCUUCAGGGUAGCAACCUGAUGCUAGGCUCUAUCUUCACGGUGGAUUUUUCCCUGAUCAGAGUAAUCUUUGCACUUAAUGAAUUUCUCUUAUAACUGUCCUGUCUCAUGACAUGAAUAAGAGUUUAUGCUAUUUUAUGGUUUUCCACCAAGAUCCUUUUUAACCUUCGUUAUUGCAAAAGUACUUAUCUUGAGGAGUCAAAAUGGAAAAAAAGGAACCCUACAAAUUAUCUUGGAUAUUACAAUGUUGGGGGAGAGGCUGAUGUAAUAUAUCUCAGUGUCCCUUUCUUUGUGGUGGACAAAUACUAUUAACUUCCAUUCUGUGGAUAGGAAAAAAAAGUUCUGGAUUAUUGCUGUCAAUUUGUUUAAAAACAUAAUAUUCCAUGGGCCAUUAAGAAAUUGAGAAAUGUUGUGUUUUAUUUCCUUGCUGUGUUUAAGAGAAGUAUAUGAUAGAUCCAUUAAGGGAAGACUAUCAUAAUAAUAAUCAUAACCAUAAUCAUAAGUGACCAUCUUUGUAAAGUGAUUUAUUAUUGACUAAGAUUUUAUCUACAUGCUUGCAUUUACUGUUACUGGCAGGUGGAUAUAGUAUUGACCACAAAGCCUGAUGUCAUCUCUGGGAGUUGAAUUUUAUCUUAUAUAAAUGUCUAAGUAGUAUAUCUAUGUCUCAAGAUGUUUUGGUAAAAUUACACUUUUGUUCCUCUCUCACAACAUUAAUUUGAUGCUUUUAAUGUUUUCUUUUGUAUGCUUUAUUUAAUUUCCCUAAAUACUUUGAGGGUAUUUAUUGUCUUAUUAAUAUUAUUAUCUCUGCAUCAGUUUGUCCAGUGUCUAAAGGAUUGUUGGUGCUUAACAAAUAUGUAUUGAAUUUAAUUUAACUGAGUAGUAGCAUUUUCUUUGAGGGUAAGAUUUUGGAUAAUUUGAUGAGAAAAGCUUCGUGUUAAUUUCUCUUUGGAGGGGAGGGUCUCCAUCGGUAAAUUUUAUGAGAGUUUAAGGGAGGUAUUCAAUUGCCUAAAUCAGCUGAGAAAAUAGUAUCUAAAAUGAAUUAUUUUGUGUGGCAAGGACUCCCUAAAUAAAUAAGAAGAAAUUUGUUUUUUUCUUAUUUUUCUCCUUUAGAUAGCCACAUGAAGUGAACAAGGGGCCUCUCAUAAACUAUUCCAAUAGAGAAAAAGCCUAAUACUUUGAAAUAGUCUUUAGCCAGUGAAGCAUUCUUGCAACACAGGCAUCCUUCUGAGAAGAAUAAAGUAUUGCUUUCAAGUGGGUUAAUGAAGUCAACUGGCACUUAUAAUAUGCUAAGUCAAAUCAUUCUUUUCAACACUCUUUGCUAAUUCCAGAAUUUAAUUUUCAUGCAACUCUAAAAAUUUAACCACAUCAACUUGAGAUCUUAACCCUUCCUGAAAGAAAGAUGUUGUUAAUAAUGACUUUUCUAAAUAAAAUUGCUCAGGUUUAUCCUGAGACAUAUGUCAGUGGUGAUGCUGAGGUAUUAUAUACGUAUGCACACACACAUAUGUAAUAAGUUUGUGAAAAUAUAAAACAAAAUCAUAUUGAUAAUGGUGAUUAGAUAUGCUUUUUAAUGGUAUUUUGUAUGAUCACUCACCAGUUGGUGCAUUAUCUAGACAGGCUCACAAGGCUUUUAAUGGAAGUGAAAAAUGUCCUCCCUAAAACAUGAGCCUACCCCUAAGGAAGUAAAAUGAAUCUCAGUAUACACAAGAAUGGUUCAGCAAAUGCAAUAUG